GCGGGACCAGGGGGGUUGGGCGGGGUAUCGACAGUGUCGAGCGCAUCUCAGAGGCGCUGGUCCGCCCCGGGCCUUCAGAGGUACCUUAAGGGGGAGGAAGGGGCCCAUCCUCAAGUGGGCACUUCCGGCUCCUCCCGACCUGCCUUCAUCCCACAGGAGGUCAAACUGUCCAUUGAGGGGCGCUCUAAUGCUGGGAAGUAGCACCACAUCACAGAAGAGACUGGCAGAUGAGCAAAAGCGAGGGAGAGAGAUUGGAAAAGAGUUGGAAUGUAGCCUCAGAAUGUUGAGAUUUUGCACACCUAAGAUUACAGCAGAACUGCCUUGUCUGGUGGCUGGUCAGGACCGCUCUCUCUGGCCUGCCAGUGGAUCAGUCAGUCUGGACAGCUCCGGGUUCUGGUCAGGUGGUCGGGUGUCUGCUUUUCCAGACUGACAGAUGAGAGGGUGCAGCAGGGAGUGCAUGUAGCUGGUGAAUCACCUACCAAAGCCCUUGCAGACCUUCCUCGUUAACCGCCCUAACAGUCCUUAUCAGACGGUAACCUUCACAUUCACUGGCCUGUCUCUCUUCUCUCUGAACCAACCAUCUCUUCUGGAAACCUGAGGCUAAGGAGAAUCUGUAGCCAAGGUGUGGCGAGACGGACACCGGGCGGGGUCUGAGGCAGGUUUAGUCUUCUGAGACGGAGCCUUGGAGGUCUUUCUAUCAGCUCCUUCAAUCAACCAAUCAGAACACAGGAAAUGGCUUACUCCAUUGCAAUGCACCAACCGCAGUGCUCGUUCUUUUGUUUACACCUCAACCUGUCUUUGGGCCACAGUUUCCCAUUUUUUGGUAAAAAAAAAAUAUAUAUAUAUAUAUAGAAAGAAAUAUCAUGCAUUCCAGGAUGGUAAUGAUUGUCCACCACAUACAGUGCAGAUCAGUGUUUCCUGACCAACACAGCCUUUACUGCCUGCUUGCUGUACCUCAGCGUUCCUGGGCCCGCGUGCCACAGUGUCCUGUCGUUGCGUUAGUUCUGUCUCUGAGGCACUGGCUGGUCUACACCACAGUCACCUGUGGGAACCAAGCCCAGAGCCCACAUGGGCCAGUAGAGGCUGCAGGCAAUUGGCGGCUCAGAUGGCUGCCCUGAAGGGACAGUGCUGGCCGGAGUGGAUACCCCAAAGAGCUAUGUCGGACCUCACCGGCUCAGUGAAGCAGCCCCUGGGGCUGUGGCAGGGAAACCCUGUGUGUUGGAAGGGGCGUAAUUGGCUCUGCCUAUUUUUAUUUCCUUUCCCACUAUCGUCCUGACCCAAACUGUCCACUUGUCUUGUUUUGCAGUGAAAAUAGUUGGGUGCGGUAAGAUGUGGUUGGUCUGUCUCUCCAGCCUGGUUUGGGUGGGACAUGGCAAAGUGCUUGUUCACAUUAUGCUACAUUUUCUGAGACAUAUCGAAGAAGACGCUAGAUUUUGUUGUUAACUUGGAGAUAUCAUUACCUUCUGAGGUAGCGUGCGCCGCAUUUUCAAUAGAGCCCCCCUUCAGAGUUUUGCGAGUGUAAAAACGUCUGUAAGAACUGUAUCAAGUUUCUGUGCAGUGCGCACAGGUAUCGCAAAAUCUUUCCCUCGUUUGACGGCCAUAAUCCGGCGUGGUACGCCUCUCAUUUUUCGGUGUAAAUUCAAACACUGGAAAUGAUUAUGCAAACUAAAAUAAAUCCAUCUAGCGUUUUAUUCUCACUCGUAAUGUAAACAAGCCCUUUUAGUCCUUGGUUAUAAGCAUUAGAGGGCCACGUCAGUUUUCACAGAGGUGUCAGAGAGGUGUAAAAUGGUUGAGUCCAGUUAAUCUUUGCUCAGUUACCAAAAUCAAAGCAAUAUUUCUGUCAGGAGCACAAGGUUGGGCUACAUUAACCUCACACUUAGGAAGUUUUUUGGGUUGUUGUUUUUAUAUGAAUAUACUGCUUGUGUAUCUUUAACCUUGACCUUAAACGUUCCUGCUUUUCAAAGGUGAUGCACAAUUUGGGUAUGAAAUGUUUUUGUUGUUCCUGUACAGUUAUUACAGAUCCACAAUCAAAGCAUGAUCUUGAUUAUUUUUUUUAUUUCUUUUAUUUUUUUUUACCUAUUUAGAAAAAGAAAGAAAUGGAAAACAUGCAUUUGUUCCGCAAAGUAUGGCCUCUGUUAUUAUAGACUGGAGGUUUGUGCUCUGAUCCUCACUGAUAGUAUUCUCUGGUUUAAUAUGGUUUACCCUAUAUGCUUUUCUUCAAGAGGCUUGACUCCCAAAUCAGUGGUGACUGUCCACUAUUCUGUCCUUUCUGUUAUUGUACUGGUGAACAGUGUAGAAUUAUUUUACUUGUCCAUGGCAAAAUUAUUUCAAUGGAUCAUAAGAUUGUAUUGUAUUGCACAUAGAAAUUGUCAAAAGUUGAUUCACACUGACUUUGUAAUCGAAAUCACAAAUCGUUUUUUUAGUUGUUUUUUUUUUUAAGGGAAAUGUUUUGUAGUUAUUGCAUUUCUGAAGUAUUCUUAAGAUAUUUUUGGCAAGAUUAACUAAAUUGCAUGGUUGACACUGUUUACAAAUUAGCCAAGACUAAUGCUGCUGUUUCUUUUUAUGGAUACAGACUUCAGUUACUGAGAAACUUCACACAGAUGAAAAUAUGACGAAGUGCAAUUAGAGCAGAUGUAAAAAUGACUCAGACAUUUACUUUAAUAUGGCAUUCCAUACAGUAGCCAGACAUUCCCUUCAGGUAGUACAAAUUACAAAGUUCUAGAUUUGUGUUUAUUUGUAAUAUUCUAGUCACAAAGACAUUUUAACUUCACCUUCUAAUAACGUCUCUAAUCACUUCAGAACCAGUAGUCCUUGUCAGAAUGGUGUGUAUUUGUUUUAUUAUUACCUAUGUUAUAAAAUGUGCAGACCCAAACAUUAAUAUCCAGGCUCACUGAUAGCAAGUGAGGAGGCGGAAAAUGGUGUUAGCUGGUGUGUCAGAGAAUCUCAGACGUGGCCUGCCCCUGUAUCCUGGCGUGGGGCUCUGAGGGGAAGUCUGGUGUGAGAGUGUGCUGUUGACACCCACUGCCUUCCGGUGGACUCAAGUCCCCUGCAUCCACGGUGUUUCUAGACAGCUGUGUCAGAUCUAGUUCAAAUGCCCCUUCCAACACCCCCACACUCACUGCCUCCAGGACAUUUCACUUGAGCAGAGCCCCCAAGGACUUAAAGGGUCACUGGGGAUACGGCCUUGGACGCUGUCUUUGGAUAGACAACGGGGCCAUGGGCGACUGGUCCUGAAGAAAAGGGUAGGUCUGUUAAACCAGUGGCGGGAGUUGCGUUCCGGUUGAUCCCCUCAUGUUGUGAAUUACACUAGUGGUCUGUUGUCACUCAGAAAUGGGGAGUAAUAGACAUGGGUGGUUUUCUUCAGAAUACUUUUCUCUUUACAAUAGUUACUUUGAGCAUGUUUUCUUUUUAAUGCAAUAAGCAGUACUGUUACACAGAACACCCGAACAUGUAUUCUAGCAUGUUUUGCUCAUGAGGUAAACUCUAAUGUCUUCAGUGUCCAAGUGUAGGGCAGGGUGGUAAUGUAUAUACAAAACUGGCUGACACAGUCAUUGUACACUGAUCUGUUAAGUACUAUUGUCUAUCUGCGCCAUGGGUGAAUAUAGUGUGUUUGCUUGUUCAUUCAGGCCCCUUAGUUAGACACUAGCCUUCUGAGUUUAUUAGUGUGAUGUUAUUCAGCCCAUAACCUCAACUCUACGUUCCCUUGCAAUUCACAGCCCACAUGCACAAAUGGCAUGUCUUACCCCCUCCUGCCCUGGCCAUACCACCCAAUGUCUGUCUGACUCUUCAUUUUGGGUUAACAAAGUGUUUUUUAAGGUGCAAGCAGUUCUUCCUAUGUCUUUUUCCUUCUCUACUGAGAACAGUAUAUUUCAGUGGCCAUAUGACAUUCAUCUGCGAAUGAUCGAAGCAGACGCUCAGCGGCCCCGGUCCGUUUAGCUUGUGCUGUGGGUGUGGACGUUCUGCAGCAGUAGGCUACACCUAACUAACCACUGGAAGAGGGAACAGUCCUGUAUGUUAUUAAACUCUCUUCUCAUUAGGCUAGUCUUUUACUACGAUUUUAUUCAAGACAGAAAUUUGCACUCGUUUGCCAUCCUUUAUAGUGUUAUAAAAUGAACUGUUGGUUAAUUAAAGAGGUUUGUGUUCUUAGCACACUCAAACCGCCAGUUAAACAAUCACUCGACAGUUGUGUGCAUGUUUGUAUCAAUAGAUAGUUUUGUAUCAAACUUGUCAAUAAUGCCUUAAGAUCUGCUUCGUACAAUGUGUAAAUGGUAAGAUGUUUAGAAGUCACCCAGGUUCCUUUUUUUCCUGUAGCUACAAAGGUGGAACAUUUAACUCCAGUUACAUUAACCCCCUUGGCACGCUGCUGUUUGAUUCAUGAGCAGAAAGGCAUUUGGAGAAGAUGCACUGUAUCUCUGGAUGUGAGUAGAUGACAGAGGUGUCUUUGUAGUUGAUUUUCCACACACCACCGUCUUAGUUUUUAUUGUGAGUGGAUGUUGAGAAUAGGUCCCUGGAGUUGAGAGGUUGUGCUUGAUAUCUUUUGAGUUUUGGUCCGUGGUAUGAUCUGCCUGACCGAGGUGCUGGUUAUUUUGGGUGUGGAGAGAAUGAGAGGUUCAUUUUGGGUCAGUUAGUUUGCUGCCACACAAGGAGACAUGCCCAUGGGUGGCAUCACAUUCCCUCCCUCAGGGAACCAAGGUUAUAUUACACUUAGCCCAAGGCUUCCAAAACCAGGAACAACUUUCCUUUAUUGGUAGUAGUUUCAUAUUCUGUUGCCUUGUUUUGUGAUUAUGGAAAAAGGCUUUAUGACCCUUAUAGAAAGUAGCCGUCAGUCUCGUCUGAUCUUGUGUGACUGAGGUAAAUGGACUGGAUGGGAUGGGGUUUUCGCCAGGCACUUGAGAUGCAGAAUUAAAUCAGGAUGAUAAGAAAGGUUAUACAAUUUAAACAAGUCCUUGUGUAUUUUCAGAUUUGACAUUUGUACUUUUGGCACUAAAGUGACUGCUUUUUAUGUGACCUGUGACCCGUUUGAAAAGAAACAGCAUCUUUUUUUAAUGCAUUAAAUCUGCAAAAUAUAUGCAAUGAUGUAUAUGUCAUAUUAAAUCCUCAAAUAUAAUCCAGGUUGUAUAAACUUUGUAUAGUGAGUUUUAAUAUUGUAUGGCUGUAUCAAUAUGUAUUGAUUCUUAUCAGAAGCCUUAGCGUUGUCUACCCAAAGUGCUCCCUUAGAAAUCAGUACCCUACACCUACCUGAACUUUACAAAGCAUUAAGAACUAUAUUUUGUUGCGUUUCAUUUGUACCCUUUUUGAAUAAAAUAGAUUUGUACUGUAUAUUUGUACCUCCGUGUGAACUACUUAGGGCUGUUAUGUUUUUGUUUUGCAGUUUUAAUUCUAUGUACUUAAGGACACAAAGAUAUUGUAUUUUUAUUGUUACAGCUAACUUCUUGGAGAUAUUGCAUUUAUCAUGUUUGUUAAGUAAACACAAUAUAAUAUAUAUAAAUACUA